GUGGCGGGGCGGUGUUUCCGGGUCACCGUCUGCAUAGCGCAUAGGAUUAUGGGUACUGGGAGUUGCAGUCACUGAACAACCAGGAGCAGCCCCGCCCACUCUCCCGCUCAUAAGCCGGAGAAACCCGUCACUCAUCAUCUAAGCAACGCCCAUUCUACCGUUCAUAGGCCGAAGCUCCCGUCACUCAGACACACCCGCCCCUGUGUCCCGCUAUUAGUCGAACCGACCCUUCGCUCAUUCACACACCCUCCUGCCCAUAGCUCGCAGCCCCGCCCAUUCUACCGUUCAUAGGGCGCAGCGUCCAGUCACUCAUCAACAAGCACCGCCCACUCUACCCGCAACUUGUCGGAGUGCCGUCACUCAAUCACCUUCUCUCCCUCCCAUAGGCCGCAGCACAGUCCCCGCCUUCAGCUGCCUCCCGCCCCCCGGCCACUCUAUUCAUCAUUAUCUGCUGCUCACACAGACUAAGCCACCAUGGCGGCGCCCAUAGGGAGCCAGCAACAUGGCGCCUGCCCCAUCUUGAUGCUGUCCUGUGUGUGUAUGACAGCGUGUGUACAGAUCAGGGUUCUGUCUAUGUAGCCUACAGAUCAGUGGCGUGCCAUGAGGUUAUUGGCUGGGAGGAGGAGUGUAUAGAGGAACACAGGGGUCUGUACAAGGACGUGAUGAUGGAGAAUCACCGGCCCCUCACAUCACUGGAUGGGCCCAGUAACAGAGAUACCCCAGAGAGAUGUCCCCGUCCUCUGUAUUCCCAGGAUUGUACAGAGGAGAAUCACAGGAUCCCACAGGAGGAUC